rfam:Brachypodium distachyon strain Bd21 chromosome 3, whole genome shotgun sequence.
UCUGUACUCCCUCUGUCCAAUAAAAGAUGUCUCAAAUUUAUCAAAAUUUGAAUGUAUCUAGAAAUGACUUAGUGUAUAGAUGCAUUUAAAUUUAGUGAAAGUCGAGACAUCUUUUGUUGGACGGAGGGUGUAUAUU